rnacentral:misc_RNA from 1 species
UUUCCGUAGGUGAACCUGCGGAAGGAUCAUUAUCGUACAAAAUGUGUGAGGCAUGCAAGGGUUGUCGCUGGCUUUCAAUGUUGUUGCACGCCGGAGCGUGUCCUCUCACAUAACACAAUCCAUCUCACCCUUUGUGCACCACCGCGUGGGCACCCUUUGGGAUCGGACCGAUCUCUUAGGGGACUCGCGUUUUCACACAACACCCUUUUAAAAAGUGUAGAAUGACCUCAUUUAUGCGAUCAAUACAACUUUCAACAACGGAUCUCUUGGCUCUC